rnacentral:rRNA from 1 species
CACGUAGGGGGCAAGCGUUGUCCGGAUUUAUUGGGCGUAAAGGGCGCGUAGGCGGUGUGUCAAGUCAGGCGUGAAAGCCCCGGGCUCAACCUGGGAACCGCGCUUGAGACUGGCACGCUCGAGUUCGGGAGAGGAUGGUGGAAUUCCCAGUGUAGAGGUGAAAUUCGUAGAUAUUGGGAAGAACACCGAUGGCGAAGGCAGCCAUCUGGACCGACACUGACGCUGAGGCGCGAAAGCGUGGGGAGCAAACAGG